GAUUUGGGGACAGCAGGAGAGUUAAGUGACAGUGCAUCCUGAAGUCAGGGAAUGGAUACAAUCGCUUCUGCAGGGCCGUGCCAGCCAGCUGAGUGGCGAUCCCGGGAAAAGUUUCUCAGCUUAUCUCCUCCCCGGAUGGCUGUAUAAGCCAGAUGAUGGCUACCUUAACACCCUAGAAAACGUGAAUUAACAGAGGAUUUCAAGGGUGAUGCAGUGUCCAUAUCUCCUCCUCUCUCAUCCUCUCAACCAAACUUUCCUGGGAGACUCCAACACCUGCAAUUUCUAGCACUGUGACAGAAGCUGGGGGGAGGACAGAGGACCUGGCUUCAAAGGUAACACCUCCCUCUUACCAUCAUGGGGCUGACCUCAGCACAGCAGAGAGAGAAUUUGCAGUCUAAAGACGUCCUCCUAAAUAACCACCUAAAGCAUGAGCUUCCUGCCUCUGCACCCAGCCAGAUCUCCUGACCACAUGCAGGACUUUGGAUGCUGGGACUGGGGGUGGAAUUGAACAUUAAAUGAGCAACAUGCUAAUUCCAUGCAAAUGAAUAUCUAUUUUGAAUCAACAGCUUGAGCACUUUUUCUAGGGGGGCUGA